GAGUUUGAUCCUGGCUCAGAUUGAACGCUGGCGGCAGGCUUAACACAUGCAAGUCGAACGGUAACAUGAGUGCUUGCACUUGAUGACGAGUGGCGGACGGGUGAGUAAUGUAUGGGGAUCUGCCGAAUGGAGGGGGACAACAGUUGGAAACGACUGCUAAUACCGCAUAAAGUUGAGAGACCAAAGCAUGGGACCUUCGGGCCAUGCGCCAUUUGAUGAACCCAUAUGGGAUUAGCUAGUUGGUAGGGUAAUGGCUUACCUAGGCGACGAUCUCUAGCUGGUCUGAGAGGAUGACCAGCCACACUGGAACUGAGACACGGUCCAGACUCCUACGGGAGGCAGCAGUGGGGAAUAUUGCACAAUGGGGGGAACCCUGAUGCAGCCAUGCCGCGUGUAUGAAGAAGGCCUUCGGGUUGUAAAGUACUUUCGGUGAUGAGGAAGGUGACGUAUCUAAUAGGUAUGUUAAUUGACGUUAAUUACAGAAGAAGCACCGGCUAACUCCGUGCCAGCAGCCGCGGUAAUACGGAGGGUGCGAGCGUUAAUCGGAAUGACUGGGCGUAAAGGGCAUGUAGGCGGAUAAUUAAGUUAGGUGUGAAAGCCCUGGGCUCAACCUAGGAAUUGCACUUAAAACUGGUUAACUAGAGUAUUGUAGAGGAAGGUAGAAUUCCACGUGUAGCGGUGAAAUGCGUAGAGAUGUGGAGGAAUACCGGUGGCGAAGGCGGCCUUCUGGACAGAUACUGACGCUGAGAUGCGAAAGCGUGGGGAGCAAACAGGAUUAGAUACCCUGGUAGUCCACGCUGUAAACGAUGUCGAUUUGGAGUUUGUUGCCUAGAGUGAUGGGCUCCGAAGCUAACGCGAUAAAUCGACCGCCUGGGGAGUACGGCCGCAAGGUUAAAACUCAAAUGAAUUGACGGGGGCCCGCACAAGCGGUGGAGCAUGUGGUUUAAUUCGAUGCAACGCGAAGAACCUUACCUGGUCUUGACAUCCACAGAAUCUUGCAGAGAUGCGGGAGUGCCUUCGGGAACUGUGAGACAGGUGCUGCAUGGCUGUCGUCAGCUCGUGUUGUGAAAUGUUGGGUUAAGUCCCGCAACGAGCGCAACCCUUAUCCUUUGUUGCCAUCGGUUAGGCCGGGAACUCAAAGGAGACUGCCGUUGAUAAAGCGGAGGAAGGUGGGGACGACGUCAAGUCAUCAUGGCCCUUACGACCAGGGCUACACACGUGCUACAAUGGCGUAUACAAAGGGAGGCGA
rnacentral:rRNA from 1 species